GAGCUCUCCAGAUCACCAAAGACGGCGAGGGAAAAUGAAGUGGCACGAAGCGAGAUGGACCACCCUCAAACAAGGCCCGAGGAUGGAUACUGACACAGGGGAAGACCGGGAUGGCUAUGAUUAGUCAGCCCGAAAUUAAAGUCUCUGUUCCCGCAUGCCAGCUUACUGACAGACCGGCUUUGGAGGGAAGGAGGGAGAGAUUACAAACUCAUUUCUCCUCAUCUCUCCUCUCCACUUCUGGGAUACGUCUUCCCCCCACCACCAAAAAGGAGGGGCUCCUGCAUCUGACACAUGAAAGCUUUUAAACUUCAAUCAUCAUUGGGUGCACGGGCCUUCUGAAAGGGGCGGGGAGCAAAAGCGACCCCCAACUCUAAAGCAGAACCAAAUGGGCCAAGUGGGCCAGAACGGUGACACCAUGUACCCAUUCUGCCCACAUCACACACACCCCAAUUAAUUGCUCAUAGACUCAGGGUUUCCGUGAGGAAAGCUGCAAUAAUAAAUGGCAAUAAACACUUUAA